GCAAUGGACGUAGUCAACCAACCUAAGCUUCCAGCUGUUCAGGAUUGGGUGAAAAAAAAUUACACACUGUCAAAUUUCCGAGCAACAUGUAAGGAGUGUCAAAAAACUUUUUACUUCGUCAGCACAGAAGGCCUUCAGAAUCAUAUAAAACGCAAACAUGAAAGCACUUAUCAAUUUGAAGAGAGACAUAAAGGUGAGCGUUGGAGAAAUUUUAGAAAAACUGGAGAUUCAAACGAUGUUGUAUGUGUUGUAUGUGAUAAACCUGAUUCCGUCGACGAUACCUUCAUUCACCAGCAUCGCGCAGACGAUACACAAAUUCUAACCGACAUUGAUUAUGACUGGGUGUUUAAAUAUUUUAGAAAGACUAGUGGCAGUGUUCUUUCAGCGUAUUGUAUUCUUUGUGAACGCAAUGAAACUAUAACGUUUGCAGAAACCAUAUUCUUGCAUUUUAAAUGUGCUCAUUUAAAAGAAUGGAAGGAAAGACCACCAUUCAGUGAAAAAUUAACAGCUCUAUCAGGUGUCGUAGAAAGACUGAAACUGUUCUUGAAAAUAUAUGACCAUGGCGAAUGGGAAUUAGAUGACUGGGAACAUCGAACAAGGGUUAUAAAUUGGUUGAAAAGAAAAUAUCAAUUUAAAUCGAAUUUUCGAGCUGAAUGUAAAAAGUGUUUUGACAUUUUUAGUAGCAUCGACACAGUAAACUUUGAUGAACAUUUAUAUGAUGAACAUCGCAAUUAUUAUGAUGAGGAAAACCUAGGACUUAAGAACGAUUACAGUAAUGCAUAUUGGAUUAAUUUUAGGAUAUUUAUAUGGAAACUUGAAGUACAAUGUGUUAUAUGUAGCAAUACGUUUCCAAUAAUGACGAACGACUGGAGAAAGCAUCUACAUGAUAAUGAUAAUAAUUACAUUCGUCAUUACACAUGGCAAUGCAAAUAUGUGACAGAAAUCGAAGAUGGUAAUGAUGAUUUUAAAGGACGUUGCAAUGUAUGUAGUGUAGAACAUGACUUCGAUUUUAUGCCUGCAAUACACUUAUUCUUUCACAUAUUCGACAAUAAGUGUCGAAAUUUGAUGAGGAAAGAUUAUCUAGGACCAGAAAAUGAUCCACGACCAAGAGAUGAUUUAGCAAUGCAAGGACAAGGAAUGAAAAGACCUAGAUCAUGCGACGAACCGUCAACAAGUCGUAAAAUAAACUGAAAAGGUGCGAUGUAAUUAUUCUUUUGACAAUGGAGAUGACGAUUUUUUUACCGAAUUGAGAUCGAGCCACAAACAGCAAUAAUAUAAUAAACAAUUUUAUUGAACAAAUUGGCAGAACGACGUUGCAUUUAUUUAUAUGCGUUCUGUUACAAGAAAUACAUGUGCAAGCGUCACAAAAUUAGGAUUUGAUGGAUGCAAAUACACAAUAAUGUCGAAUUUUGUAGUAAAAUGUAAUAGUUGGCUUAAUUUUACGACAGAAACUUUCAGCGCU